UUGAAAAGAAAAGAUUUGGUAGUUGGCAAAUUGAUAAGAUUUGCAACCAUUCUUGACUUUGCUAUAUUUACAUAUGUCAUUAGUGACAUAGGCAUGGUUUUAUCCUUUUAUAAAUAGAGCAUUUUUGCUCAUUUGUAAAACACACCAAGUUAGAGAGAAAAACCAUUUUGAGAGCAACGUGAGGUAUUCCAUAGACUACAUAAGAAAAUAGUCUGUGAAGAAAAAUAGAGUGUAAGCGAUAUUUUAAUAAGAUGGAAACCAAAAGAGUGUUGUUCCUUUUGAGUAUGUAGUAGUCACUUUGAGUAUUAUAUUCGUGACUACACAGUGUAAAAUUCCUUACUAUAGUAAUAUCAAUUGCUCCUCUUGGCCCGUGGAUUUUUCCCUUAUUCAGAACGGUUUCCACGUAAAAUUUUUGGUGUCGUUAUUUUCUCAUUUUAUUUUUAUUACUUUUACCAUAUAUAUUUUUGCGCUCGUCCGCGUUUUCCCAACACCACCAACAGCUUCACCAACAGUUGUGCAACAACCUAGGAGAACUGACAUACAGAAUUCAAAUGAAAAAACUGUUCUCCAGAAAUCGCGAAACAUCAGCUGCAAAAUUGACUGUUCUCAAUUAUGAAGAAAAAUGCAACCCCACUCAAUCAGCACCAACGGUCAUAGCCGAAGCAACAAAGCGCAAACCGAUGGAAACGAGCACCAAACCGUCCAGCAGUAAACAGAAGACCGCCAUCGCAGCCCCUUCAAAAAGGGACUUAAAGAUAAAGCUCUCUUCCUCAACUUGCCACUCUUCACCUUCUCUUCUUCUUCUUCCUUCUACUAAAACAACUACUCUCACACAUGCUUUUGCAGGAAGUUUUUGCAUCAAAGUGAACUUAAGCUUUUAUCAAUGCACUGCUUUCACAUGAAGUUUUGGUCAAUGCACUGCCAAAAAAGCAACAAACUACUUCCAACACAAAGAUAUUUUGUGAACUACGACGCAUCAACAUCACUUGCUAAGUAUGACACACAGCUGAAUCGUGCACAGGGUUCCCUUUUUCUUCGCAAAUAUGUAAAUAACUAUGAAACAUGGCCGAAUCGUGCACAGGAAGUGCAAUAACAAGUAUGAUAAUGCUUAUAUAUGUAUUGCCAAUCCAUGAUAUAAACUACCUUCAGCAACAGUCCCCUGUACAGCCCGUGCUCGCACGGGCAUCACCAUCUAGUAUAUAUAUAUAAGAAGAGUAAAUAGCACACUACUUUCCAUCAACACGUGUGCUUAAUUGAAAUUACGUAAAAUUUUGAAGGGUACUUUUGUCCUUCUCUCUUUGUCUUCACACGUGGUUCCUUAUCUUCUCUCCAUCAAUAGUAACGUCACCGCCAAACUUUACCAUCUAGCUCUUCGUCUCCAAACGUUUAUGCUCGCUUCAUACUUUCUUCUUCUCGAAGUUACUUCGGUGGAGCUUAUAACUACCCAUUACCUCAGGCAAGCAUACUCUACAAUGAUUUUAUUUUGCAAUCCUUUUUAAUGUGUUUGUAUCCCACAAUUUUUUUGGGUUUUUUCACCCCUUCCGCUUCAGAGAUUUGAAUUGUUAAGGGCCUCUAGGAUUAGUUGAGCUUUCCAGUUGAAGUACUGAACAUCACACGCCGCCUCAAGCCGUUAAUUGUACUUUCGCCGCCAAACUUUACCUUAUUGAUUAGGUGCUCCGCUGAAGUUUGCAGCUAUCUAUUACCUUACGUAAGCAUAUUCCACAAUGUUUUUCCAUUAUUUUGGUUCCUUAGCUAUACUUCAGCGAUUUCGUUUUCUCAUCCUUUUUUGAUUUGUUUAUAUUCACGGGUUUUGUGGGUUUUUUCACUCUUCCUGUUUCAGUCGCUAUUUGUUGUUGUUUGUAUCACUGCCCUUUGCCUCAUCUUAGCGAGCGUGGUAUGCAAGAUUUUAACUGCUAUAUUUGCCAUGAUCAACUGAUUUUCUCAGAGUAGUUCUCCCUCUGAAAAAUUCUGUUUAAGACUGAAUUCAUAAUGUUCAGUUCUUUCUCAUCCCUUCGACCAUGAUUUGAGCCAUAAUUGUAAAGUGAUUUUUGCUUGUCUGUAUAGGUAGUACCAGAGUUCUAUUCACAUUCACAAAAAUGGAUAAGUAAAGAAGGAACUUCAACUCGCUGAAAACUGUAUUUAUGCUUACCAGUUCCCCUAAGAUAAAGUGAUUUUAUGUAGCAUUCUCACUCACAUUUCAAAAGAAGAAAAAAGUGUUCCUUUGCCUCCUCUAUUCUAACCCUCCUGCCAUUAUACAUGGUGAAAAGUUUGAGUGCUGUCACACUUUCACCUAAACCACCAAUAUAGAUUCUUAUGGUUUCGGUGAUGCAUUGCCUCCUUCGUCCGUCGCCAUCUCUUCCGGUGCUGUUAUGUUCAACUCAAUGAAGCUCUUUGGUUGAAGUUAUGCUGCCAGCGAAUUGAUGUCCACUAAUCGGGGUAGCAAUUGGGUGUGAAAUAGAAAUGUUAUGAGAUUUCUUCAAGAAUCUGAAAUUUUAUAUACUUCAAUAUAUUGUCGAUUCAAAUUCAUUGUCUGCCUUUUAGUAUUUUAAAUGCAGAUAAUUUCCUACAAAAAGCUUGCGGAGAAAUGUCUCCAACAAACCAAAUAAACUAUCUACAUACAGAAGAACAAAUUUAUCAAAUGAAACUCAAAAGGCGUGAUGCUUAUAUAAAGAUAAAAGCUGAUAAAAAAAACAGGCGAUAUUAGCAGAGAGGCGCACCAGAGAAUUACGAAAAAGGUAAAUCACGUGUUCUCCGUCCAACUGAAGAAACAAAGCGUUAUUGCGCCCCUAUAUUAUCAAGGCAAACUGGUCUUACUAUAAAAGAGCCCUCUUCUAUUAAUAUCAAGAAAAAGGAUGCUAUGAAAUUAGUUCUUCUAACAAAAGAGAACAAGUCCUCCCAUCUUUCUAUGUAUUUGAAAAAGGGAACAACAAAAUGUCACUCCUGAGGUCAUUUCUAUCUCAAACUCAACAUCCAACGCAUGUACAGAACAACAAAAUGUCUCUUCUAAAAAGUCGCUACAGAGAAAGGGUCUAUGUGGUGAUAUAAACCCUACAAAUUCAUGUAUGGGAAAAAAGGGCUUUUGUAAAUUUCAAUAUCCAAAAGACUAUUGAACAAACAUCAAAUGGAAAGAAUUCAUAUCCACUUUAUAAGAGGCGUAAUACUGGGAAAACUGUAUACAUGAGAAAACAUCAUAUGGACAAUUCGUGGGUUGUCCCAUAUAACCCAAUACUUACUUUGUAAAUUUGAUUGUCAUAUAAAUGUUGAAGUUUGUUCUGAUAUUAAAGUUGUGAAAUAUAUUUGCAAAUAUUUUUGCAAAGGCCAUGAUAAAAUUGCAUAUUCUAUACAUGACAAUGUAGAAAUAGACGAAAUAAAAGAAUAUCGGUAUGCAAGAUAGGUUUCCCCACCCAAAGCAGCAUGGCGUUUAAUUGGUUUUCCUAUUAGUGAAAUGACUUCAAGUGUGUAUCAUCUUCAAUUUCAUUUAGAAGGACAACAAUUUGUCUCGUUUAGAAGUACUGAAAGCGUUAAUAUAAUCUUAAAUAAUCCACUAAUAAAAAGAACCAUGUUGACCGAAUUUUUCUCUAUGAAUAGAACAAAUGAGCAUGCUAUGAAUAUGAAAUUAUUAUACAAGGAAUUCUCGCAGCACUUUGUUUGGUGUCCAAGAGACAAAAUGUGGACACGUAGAAAAGAACGUGAUGUAAUUGGACGUGUUGCCACAUGUCAUGUGACUGAAGGGGAAAGAUAUUACCUCAGGCUGUUGUUAAUGAACGUAAGAGGACCAAAAUCAUAUAGAGAUCUUCUCACUGUUAAUGGAGUACCUUGUAGCACAUUUCGUGAAUCUGCAGAAAAAAGAGGACUACUCUAUUGCAACAGUAGUCUAAUUGAAUGUAUGUUAGAGGCUGUGAAUUAUCAGAUGCCAUAUAGUUUAAGGUGUUUAUUCGCUACAUAUUAUGGGAAAUGUUUGAGGAUUCACUAUCAGAAGACUUCAAAAAGCUUCUCCAAUACUGAACCAAAAUGUAUUCAAUACAAAGUUUUAAAUCACAUCAAUCAUAUCUUACAUUCCAUGAGACACGACACAAAUGAGUGCGGACUUAUCUUAGAGAAUAUUAAAUCUUCUGAAACUACUAAGGACACAAAAGACAUCCAUUUUGAGAAAAACAUAAUUGUCAGUGAAGACGACUUGCUCUUGCCAAAAAGAUAAAAUGUCAAACAACUUAUUUCAUAUAAUACAAUUAUUGAUAGAAUUUCUUGCAAGAAUCCAGGAGCUCUUUUUAUUGAUGGUCCCGGAGGAACAGGUAAAACUUUCUUAUACCGUGCUUUAUUAGCAACUGUUCGAUCUCACGGACAAAUAGCUUUAGCAACUGCAACUUCAGGAGUAGCAACUUCUGUUCUUCCUGGAGGACGGACUGUUCAUUCACAUUUUAAAAUGCCUAUUGACAUAGAUGAUAAUUUUUGUUGUAAUAUAAGUAAACAGAGUCCACUUGCUUGCUUGUUUCAAGAAGCAAAAUUAAUUGUAUGGGAUGAAGCAUCCAUGGCCAAAAAACAUGAUUGAAGCUCUUGAUGUACUUUAAGAGAUAUUAUGGAUGUGAAGACACUUUUUGGUGGUAAAGUUAUUGUAUUUGGAGGUGACUUUCGACAGACUCUUUCAGUAGUGCGAAACGGCAAAAACUAAGAUUUUAUUCAUCAAAGCUUAUUAUAUUCCAAUAUUUGAAAUGAUCUUAAGAAAUUGAAUCUAUCUGAAAAUAUCGUGCAAGAACAGAUCCAUUCUUUUGUGAAUAUCUACUUAGAAUUGGAAAUGGAAAUGAAACACCUAAUUGUGAAAACAAAAUUGAGAUUCCUGAUUCUCUUAUUAUACCUUUUACAACUGAAGAACAUUCGUUAGAUGCUUUAUUUAACAUAACAUAUCCUAAUUUAUAUGUGUUUUCUUCUGAAUCAACUGCAAUAUCUUCUCAUGUUAUUCUAACAACAAAAAAUUACUUUGUAGAUGAAAUAAAUGAUAUGUUAAUUGUAAAAUUUCCAGAAAGAGCUAGAACAUAUGUCGCAACGGACGAAACUGUUGAACCAAAUGAUCAAAGCCAAUUUGAAGAUUUCCUACAUACUCUACACACUCCUGGAUUACCUCCUUAUAGGUUAACAUUAAAGGAGAACUUUCCAGUUAUAUUAUUACGAAAUUUGAAUCCUUCAGAAGGUUUAUGUAAUGGCACAAGGUUAACAUGUUGAAGCUUUAAAACACAUAUCAUAAGUGCUAAAAUUGAAAGUGGCGACUUCAAAAAUACACAUGUAUUUAUUCCAAGAAUUCCAUUACUAACAUCUCAAGAUGAGAAAAUCCCAGUACAAUUUAAAAGAACAAAGUUUCCUCUGCGAUUGUGUUAUGCUAUGACUAUAAAUAAAGCUCAAGGUCAAACAUUAGAUUUUGUUGGAAUUUACUUACGAGAACUUGUUUUUUCACAUAGUCCACUAUAUGUGGCUUUAUCAAGAGCAAAAAGUUCAAAGUGUUUAAAAAUAUUAAUCCGUCCACCUACAGCAGACAGUACUGAUGAUCAUUCAACAUAUAAUAUAGUCUAUGAUGAAAUUAUUCACAGAGCUUUCCCAUUAAUGAGGUAACAAUCGACUCUAAUUCUGUCAAUUUCAUCAAACUUCUCGCUGUAAUUUUUAGUUGCCUGCAUAUACUUCUGAAAAUAUUUGUUAUACAAAUUCAUACUUUGUUUCUUGUUAUGAAAUACUACUGAUUGACUUGAGUAGCUGAACGAGUAAGGUUUACCAAGAUGUCUGCUAUGACCCUCAGCCACCUGAUUUGCUGCUCAGAAUUGAAGAAUCGUUAUUUCACCGACAUAACAAACUCCAUGAAUGACCUCUAACCACUCAGCAGCAACAGUGAACUUGACUACGCAAUGAUCUGAGAAAAAUCAAAUGAGGCACAAAAAAAAAAACUCUUUCUGAUUAUUCUGUAUUUAUUUUGAUUCUAAGAGUCAUAAUCAAUCUGCUCUAUAGUGCAGACAUUGAUAGUUCAGCAAACUCAAAUCCUCAACAAACAUUGCUCCCAAAAGCGUCCCAUAAGUUGCUCCAGGAUUUCAUAGCUCUCAAAGUUCCUGUGCAUUUUCUCUGUUGUUCUUCGGUUGUGCAGAUUGUCUCUACGUUAUUAGUUGGGAGCAUUAGAGGCUCGGUAAAUGGGUUCAUUUGUACGUGGAGAAGUACAACAUUGAAAUUAAUCAUAUAGUUGGUUCAGCUUUGGUGAAUAUGUAUUUGACGUAUGGAGAUAUUGAUAUCCCCUUUAAUGUAAUCUCUCUCUUCCACUCAUACAGAUUAUGCCAUAAACUUCAACAAGAAGUGCAACGUAAACAUUACAAAUUUCAACAAGAAGGAAUGCCUGAAUCAUUCAACAUACUCAGAAUUUCUCCUUCUUGCAUAAAGUCAACAUUGUAAUACUGUUGUUUCCGCUUAGUUACAGACAAACUUUCUGGUUAAUCUUAAAUUUAAGUAAUUCA